GGAUUAGAUACCCUGGUAGUCCUAGCUGUAAACGAUGGAUACUAGACGUAGGAACUGGAUUGACGGUUUCUGUGUCGUAGCUAACGCGUUAAGUAUCCCGCCUGGGGAGUACGGUCGCAAGGUUAAAACUCAAAUGAAUUGACGGGGGCCCGCACAAGCAGUGGAGCAUGUGGUUUAAUUCGAUGCAACGCGAAGAACCUUACCAGGCCUUGACAUCCUCGGAACUUUCUAGAGAUAGAUUGGUGCCUUCGGGAACCGAGUGACAGGUGCUGCAUGGCUGUCGUCAGCUCGUGCCG
rnacentral:rRNA from 1 species